UACGUAGGCAGCAAGCGUUGUUCGGAGUUACUGGGCGUAAAGGGUGUGUAGGCGGUUGUUUAAGUUUGGUGUGAAAUCUCCCUGCUCAACUGGGAGGGUGCGCCGAAUACUGAAUGACUAGAGUGCGGGAGAGGAAAGUGGAAUUCCUGGUGUAGCGGUGAAAUGCGUAGAUAUUAGGAGGAACACCGGUGGUGUAGACGGCUUUCUGGACCGUAACUGACGCUGAGACACGAAAGCGUGGGUAGCAAACAGG
rnacentral:rRNA from 1 species